rnacentral:pre_miRNA from 1 species
AGUGGAAUAGCUGGGUAAAAUGGUGAUUCCAUUCCAAAUUUUCCAAAGAAUUUCCAUACUGCUUUCUAGAGUGGUUGCACCAAUUUGCAGUCCCACCAGCAGU